GACGUCAAAUCAUCAUGCCCCUUAUGUUCUGGCUACACACGUGCUACAAUGGCCGGUACAGACGGACGCAAAGCCGCGAGGUGGAGCAAAUCCUAAAAAGCCGGUCUCAGUUCGGAUUGCAGGGCUGCAAUUCGCCUGCAUGAAGUCGGAAUCGCUAGUAAUCGCAGGUCAGCAUACUGCGGUGAAUACGUUCCCGGGCCUU
rnacentral:rRNA from 1 species